GUGCAGGGCGUUUAGGGUUCCACUGGCAAAACCGCAUCAUUGCGGGUCAGGUUCGGUCCGAGAAAUGCCACCCGGCGGGCCAAUUCCCGCGGGGCACACGGCGGGGCAAAAUCCCGGGAGGA
rnacentral:sRNA from 1 species